UCGAGAAUCAUUCGCAAUGGGCGAAAGCCUGACGAUGCGACGCCGUGUGAGCGAUGAAGGCCUUAGGGUUGUAAAGCUCUUUCGCCUGGGAACAAGAGAGGCUAGCUAAUAUCUAGCUAAUUUGAGGGUACCAGGUAAAGAAGCACCGGCUAACUCCGUGCCAGCAGCUGCGGUAAUACGGAGGGUGCAAGCAUUAAUCGGAUUUAUUGGGCGUAAAGGGCGCGUAGGCGGGAAACUAAGUCGGAUGUGAAAUCCCGAGGCUCAACCUCGGAACAGCAUUCGAAACUAGUUUUCUUGAGGGUAGGCGGAGAAAACGGAAUUCCACAAGUAGCGGUGAAAUGCGUAGAUAUGUGGAAGAACACCGGUGGCGAAGGCGGUUUUCUAGCUUAUUCCUGACGCUGAGGCGCGAAAGCAAGGGGAUCAAACA
rnacentral:rRNA from 1 species